UACGUAGGGUGCGAGCGUUAAUCGGAAUUACUGGGCGUAAAGCGUGCGCAGGCGGUUUUGUAAGCCGGAUGUGAAAUCCCCGGGCUUAACCUGGGAAUGGCAUUCGGGACUGCAAGGCUGGAGUGCGGCAGAGGAGACUGGAAUUCCUGGUGUAGCAGUGAAAUGCGUAGAUAUCAGGAGGAACACCGGUGGCGAAGGCAGCUCGCUGGGACGGUACUGACGCUGAGGCGCGAAAGCGUGGGGAGCGAACAGG
rnacentral:rRNA from 1 species